UUUCCUGCCUACUGUAUGUGCAUAACGUCAUUUUAACUUAAGUCCUUUCAAUGAUAUGAUACAGUUUGUUCCAUGCGCUAUCUGCCAUAUCAUAGAAGAAUACAUCCAUCGCAUUGAACCAUAUGCGAUGCAAGGAGACAUGAAUACUUGGAUUGCUUACUUUGUUACAUUUGAGAGGCUGCAGUAUGAGGUUACAUUUCAGUGUUCAGACUUGGUGCCGCAGAUCGUGGGUGAGGGGUGGCAGCAGCUUCUAGAUGAUUAUGUUGUGUGUCCAGGGGACACGAUGUAUAUCUACAUGAGUAACGGAAGCUACAGGCUCUCAGUCGACGUCAAGAGGGAUGAUGUCCAAAAGACACCUCUCACUUAUGUUGGUAUGACUAUUCAUUUUGUAUUAUCGUGCUUCUACACGACAUAUUUAAUAUGGUUUGUCUGUUUCUGUUUUGUGUUAAUUUUAAUACAAUAAAUAUUUAGACAGAAGCAUAUGAUCUGUUGUGAACGUGUUACUAUUUUUUAUAGUUAUUCAACCUUUAACCUAGAUGAAAAACCAAAGGAUACGGCUAGUAUUUAGGAUCAUGAUUAAUAUGUUUAAGCAAAAUUUAAAUUCUAACUGUACAAUAGAGCUAGUUUUACUAGUUCUAUCUUAUCGGUAGUUACGUCAUCCAUACGAAUGAAAAUGUAUUAAACCUUCUGUAUCAACUUCAAUUCUUAUAGUUACUGUGCUUUAGAUUCAUUGUCUAAUAACGUGUUGUUUUUAAUACGUGCGGUACGAAGCCCUGCGUGGUCUCAGCCGUAGGAAGAAAAAGAUCAUCAAUAAGUGCAUCAUUACAAGGGGGAUACACCUGAAAUAUUCUGAAAUGAAAAAAAUGGUCAGAAACGCGUUUGGACCAACAAAAUCUCCAUGCUGCGUCUUAGUUCACAGGAUGAGCAACUGUGACAUUUCUGCUGGCUACAUGCGAAUUCCAAAACGAGUUGUUGAACGUAUCGAGAAGAAAACAUGGACUCUUGAGGAAGAAGGACAACUUGUGCUUGUCGAUGAUGUUGAUGCAUAUGUUGAUGGUAGAUACAAGAAGCUUACAGAUGAGAGGCUGGUUCUCUAGGGAGGUUUCAGGACUUAUGCACAUUUGCUUGGUUUGGAAGUCGACGAUUUGGUAUCCAUUUUUUUCCAGAAGGUUGAAGACCCUGCAGCGAUAAAAGUAUGGUUCACUAUCUUAUCUUAGAUGACUUGAUGGGGACUUUAUGUAAUAUGGAUGUUAUAUCGAGAACAAUGAACGGAUAACUUUUGCGUAUGGCAAACAUGUUAGCUGCAUUUCAUGUAUUAUAUCUAGACAUGGCUUUUGAUUGUCUUGUUGGGCAGGCAAAGUUUGAAAAAAUGUUAAAUGACUAAUCACGUUGAUUAUGGCAGUGCUAUUGGUUGUCUCUUGAUUCA